rnacentral:ribozyme from 1 species
GGAACUAAUCGCCCUGCAAUGGGAUCGGAUCCGAAGACUCCUGAAGAUUCCAUCCAACUCCUAUUCCGACACGUCCACGUCGUGCAAGGUGGUAACAUGGGCCUAAACCUAACCUUUUGGGCGGAUGACGACUCAUGGCUAAGGUGGAAGCA